rnacentral:lncRNA from 1 species
ACUCUCCUAGGUGCUUGAUCCAUGUUUGUGAGUGAAGAACUGGCAAUGUCCUGAACCGCAUGCUAGAAAUCAUAGAACCGAUGUUUACUGAAGAUAUUCUCUGUCCUAAACGUUUUGCACACUUUCUCUCAUACAGUCCUUGAGCCAUCCCUGGGAGACAGGAACUAGCACGUCUGUUAUCAGCAUUUUCAUUUUAUGGAUUUGGAAGUUGAGCCUCGCAAGAGGAAACAGACUUGUCCACAACCGAGGAACAUGGCAACCUCAGAGCAGAGAGGAGUCUUUCCCGCAACCCAGCCCUCUCUGGACACCUUGAGCUCACCCUGCUGCCGCAUGCCGCUUCCUGCACUGUCACCCUCCCUUCCUGUGAGUCAGAGCUCUUCAUCUUCACCAGGUUCUGGGGGGCCGGCUGCCCCCGGGACGUGUCAGGGUAGAGAGUGAGGACUGGACCAUCCCUGCAGGGGGCCGUGCGGAUCGCUGGGCUUUGGGGAAGUGGAGCGUUUCCGGGGGCAAACCAGGAAGGCAGUGGAAGGCUGUAGCGUGUCAGGCCUACAGCGUCACCACAUCCAUAACAUUGCCGCUGGGAUUAUGUUUCCUACGGAUAACUAGUAAAGGGGCUUAGGGCUUUGUGCUCAGUGGCUCAAGGCCGUAUUGGGAUGACACUUAAUGAACAAGCAUGGGGACAGGAUCAAGAGGAAGAAAGAAGAAUCUGCAUAAAUUGUGAGGAAGGAGCCUGGAUUCAUGGAGGUUGUGAAACUGGGGAUUUGUACUAUGGGUAAUGCUUGUCUAUCUUUCCACUGAACUGUAAGUUCCUUGGGGGUGUGAGGUGUGGAUUAUUCAUCUCCAGAUGCCCAGGGCCCAACUUAAUACCUCGUGUAUAGCACACAGGGCUCAGUGAAUACUUAUUGGGCGUAUGGGUGGAUGGAUGGAGGAAUGAAUGGAGGGAUGAAAGGAAGGAAGGAUGGAUAAGUGGAUGGAUGGAUGGAAGGGUGGAUAAAUGGAUGGAUGCAUGGAAGGAUGGAUAAAUGGAUGGAUGCAUGGAAGGAUGGAUGCAUGGAAGGAUGGAUAAAUGGAUAGAUGGAUAAAUGGAUGGAUGCAUGGAAGGAUGGAUAAAUGGAAGGAUGGAUAAAUGGAUGGAUGGAU